UUGAUCCUGCCAGUAGUCAUAUGCUUGUCUCAAAGAUUAAGCCAUGCAUGUCUCAGUACAAGCCACAUUAAGGUGAAACCGCGAAAGGCUCAUUAAAUCAGUUAUGGUUCCUUAGAUCGUACCCACAUUUACUUGGAUAACUGUGGUAAUUCUAGAGCUAAUACAUGCAAACAGAGUUCCGACCGGAGACGGGAGGAAUGCUUUUAUUAGAUCAAAACCAAUCGGCGGCGGGUGCGCUCGCGCGCCCGUUCGCCGCUCAACCUGGUGACUCUGAAUAACUUUCGGCUGAUCGCACGGUCUAGCACCGGCGACGCAUCUUUCAAAUGUCUGCCUUAUCAACUGUCGAUGGUAGGUUCUGCGCCUACCAUGGUCGUAACGGGUAACGGGGAAUCAGGGUUCGAUUCCGGAGAGGGAGCCUGAGAAACGGCUACCACAUCCAAGGAAGGCAGCAGGCGCGCAAAUUACCCACUCCCGGCACGGGGAGGUAGUGACGAAAAAUAACGAUACGGGACUCAUCCGAGGCCCCGUAAU
rnacentral:rRNA from 1 species